rfam:Triticum aestivum genome assembly, contig: Triticum_aestivum_CS42_TGACv1_scaffold_133262_2BL
AUUCUACUCCCUCCGUUGCACAAUACAUGCCUUCUAUUUGUCAAAAUAUAUAUGUAUCUAGACAUGUUUUAGUAUAUAGGUACAUACAUUUUUGGACAAAUGGAAGUCAAGUAUUUUGGAACGGAGGGAGUACACA